rnacentral:rRNA from 1 species
CCUACGGGUGGCAGCAGUGGGGAAUAUUGCGCAAUGGAGGAAACUCUGACGCAGCGACGCCGCGUGGGUGAUGAAGGCCUUCGGGUUGUAAAGCCCUGUCGGCUGGGAAAAAGGUAGUUGCACUAACACUGCAAUUGCUUGAUGGUACCAGCAAAGGAAGCACCGGCUAACUCUGUGCCAGCAGCCGCGGUAAUACAGAGGGUGCAAGCGUUGUUCGGAAUUACUGGGCGUAAAGGGCGUGUAGGCGGCUUAGCAAGUCAGAUGUGAAAUCCCGGGGCUUAACUCCGGAAGUGCAUUUGAAACUGCUAGGCUAGAGUGAAGUAGAGGUUGGUGGAAUUCCCAGUGUAGAGGUGAAAUUCGUAGAUAUUGGGAGGAACACCGGUGGCGAAGGCGGCCAACUGGGCUUUAACUGACGCUGAGGCGCGAAAGCGUGGGGAUCAAACAGGAUUAGAUACCCGAGUAGUC